UAAAAUGCUAACUCCCCUGAUUAAGGAGCCUGACAGUAUGGCUAGUACCACAAUGGGCGUGAAACUC
rnacentral:sRNA from 1 species